GACGAACGCUGGCGGCGUGCUUAACACAUGCAAGUCGAACGGAAAGGCCCUGCUUUUGUGGGGUGCUCCAGUGGCGAACGGGUGAGUAACACGUGAGUAACCUGCCCUUGACUUUGGGAUAACUUCAGGAAACUGGGGCUAAUACCGGAUAGGAGCUCCUGCUGCAUGGUGGGGGUUGGAAAGUUUCGGCGGUUGGGGAUGGACUCGCGGCUUAUCAGCUUGUGGGUGGGGUAGUGGCUUACCAAGGCUUUGACGGGUAGCCGGCCUGAGAGGGUGACCGGCCACAUUGGGACUGAGAUACGGCCCAGACUCCUACGGGAGGCAGCAGUGGGGAAUAUUGCACAAUGGGCGGAAGCCUGAUGCAGCAACGCCGCGUGCGGGAUGACGGCCUUCGGGUUGUAAACCGCUUUCGCCUGUGACGAAGCGUGAGUGACGGUAAUGGGUAAAGAAGCACCGGCUAACUACGUG
rnacentral:rRNA from 1 species